GGUCUAUUGGCUCAGUUGGUUAGGGGGUGGUAUUAAUAAUGUCAAGGUUGCAGGUUCGACUCCCGUAUGAAGUA